rnacentral:rRNA from 1 species
GAUGAACGCUGGCGGCGUGCCUAACACAUGCAAGUCGAGCGAAAAGACGAGGAGCUUGCUUCUCUGACGUUAGCGGCGGACGGGUGAGUAACAAGUGGAUCACCACCUUCUAAGACUGGGGUAAAUUCGGGAAUACGGCGCUAAUAUAGGACAAUAUAUUGGCCCGCAUGGUUCAAUAGUUAUCGGCGGUUUUGCUGCCCCCUGUCGAUGGAUCCGGGCCGCAUUAGCUAGUUGGUAAGGUAAAGGCCUGCCAAGGCAGCGUGGCGUAGCCGACCUGAGAGGGUGAUCGGCCACACGGGAAGGGAGACACGGUCCAGACGCCUACGGGAGGCAGCAGGAGGGAAGCUGCCGCAAGGGGCGAAGACCUGACGGAGCAACGCCGCGGGAGGGAUGAAGGUCGUCGGGUCGGAAAACUCUGUUAUUAGGUAAGAAAAAAUGUGGAAGAAACUAUGCGCGUCUGGACGGUAACUAAUCAAAAAGCCACGGCUAACUACGUG